CAGCCGCCGCGGUAAUACGGAGGGAGCUAGCAUUGUUCGGAAUCACUGGGCGUAAAGCGCACGUAGGCGGCUAUUCAAGUCAGGGGUGAAAGCCCGGGGCUCAACCCCGGAACUGCCUAUGAAACUAGAUAGCUUGAAUCUUGGAGAGGCGAGUGGAAUUCCGAGUGUAGAGGUGAAAUUCGUAGAUAUUCGGAAGAACACCAGUGGCGAAGGCGACUCGCUGGACAAGUAUUGACGCUGAGGUGCGAAAGCGUGGGGAGCAAACAGGAUUAGAUACCCCCGUAGUCCCUGUCUCUUAUAC
rnacentral:rRNA from 1 species